rnacentral:tRNA from 1 species
GUCUCCGUAGCUCAGCAGGAUAGAGCGUUCGCCUCCUAAGCGAAAGGCCACGCGUUCGAAUCGCGUCGGGGACGCCA